rnacentral:rRNA from 1 species
AAUUGAGAGGCUCAACCUCUUCGAGCCGUUGAAACUGGUUUUCUUGAGUGAGCGAGAAGUAUGCGGAAUGCGUGGUGUAGCGGUGAAAUGCAUAGAUAUCACGCAGAACUCCGAUUGCGAAGGCAGCAUACCGGCGCCCAACUGACGCUGAAGCACGAAAGCGUGGGUAUCGAACAGGAUUAGAUACCCUGGUAGUCCACGCAGUAAACGAUGAAUACUAGCUGUCCGGGGCGAAUGAGCCCUGGGUGGCACAGCGAAAGCGUUAAGUAUUCCACCUGGGGAGUACGCCGGCAACGGUGAAACUCAAAGGAAUUGACGGGGGCCCGCACAAGCGGAGGAACAUGUGGUUUAAUUCGAUGAUACGCGAGGAACCUUACCCGGGCUCAAACGACACAGGAACGUACCUGAAAGGGUUCGGCUCUACGGAGCCUGUGUCGAGGUGCUGCAUGGUUGUCGUCAGCUCGUGCCGUGAGGUGUCGGCUUAAGUGCCAUAACGAGCGCAACCCCCAUCGCCAGUUACCAGCAAGUCAAGUUGGGGACUCUGGCGAGACUGCCGGCGCAAGCUGUGAGGAAGGCGGGGAUGACGUCAAAUCAGCACGGCCCUUACGUCCGGGGCGACACACGUGUUACAAUGGGGGGUACAGCGGGAAGCCGGGCGGCGACGCCGAGCGGAACCCGAAAGCCUCUCUCAGUUCGGAUCGGAGUCUGCAACCCGACUCCGUGAAGCUGGAUUCGCUAGUAAUCGCGCAUCAGCCAUGGCGCGGUGAAUACGUUCCCGGGCCUUGUACACACCGCCCGUCAAGCCAUGGGAGCCGGGGGUGCUUGAAGUGCGUCGCCUUGAGGCGCGCCCUAGAGCAAAACCGGUGACUGGGGCUAAGUCGUAACAAGGUAACCGUAA